rnacentral:lncRNA from 1 species
UCCCCACCCCCCACCAACCGCUUGUGCUGUCUGCUGCUGCUUUGUGCCCAGGCCUGCCCCUCCAGGCCAUGUCCCGGGCUCCAAAAUGUUUCCAUCCUCCUGCUACCAACAGAAACUUCUAACUGCAUAACAUGGUACCUCCUCCCAGAGGACACGGAGAUGAGCAUCUCCCUCCAACUUUCACCUCUCCCAUAUUAGAGUCUGCGUCAACUCCUAGAAAGCUCCCUCAGACUUCACACAUUGAGGACUGGCUCCCAGCUUGUUUAUCCUCCCUCCUUCUCCUACAAACCAAUCUUUCUGAGUAGGUAAGAAAUUUCCAUUCCUCCCACCUCUCCUCUAAGGAUCCCAUUUCUCUCCAGAGGGAAGUAGGAAACAGCAGUGGGAUGGGAGGGCUCCCUCUCACUCGAUGUCUCUUCCUUCCCUUCCUGCCAUGAUUGCUUCUGAUGUCUGUGCUUGGUUUCUGCUCCCCUCCCCCAACUCAAAACUCCUUGCUGGUUGAUUGAACUUGUAGUUUCUUUUCCCUCAUUCAAUAGCUGUUUCUGUCCUAGGAGCCCAAAGUAAAGAACUCCUGAGAGAAUAAUAAAAGAAAAUUCUUACAGACCAAGCUCAAAGCAAAACAGGGACCACGGCUGAAUAUAGCAGACAAGGAGGUAGUUGGAAGGGAAGAUUAUGCUGGACUGUGGGAUAAUCUGGUUCCCCUCAAAUCCCAGCCCUUAGAUUGGCCCUGGCUGCUAGUCUAGUAUUCCUUUGUAAGGACUUGACCAGUUUUGAGACACCUGCCCUGAACUGGGCCUUCCAGACUGGAGUCCCUUGGCAACCAAAAUCACCUUAGCUGCUCCACAUAGAGGGUGAGUGUCCAGUGUGACUUUGUAGGUAAAGGAAUCCUUCACACCAUAACUUUCAGUCUCUCUCAGGGACAGGGGUGUCACAUAGAGUUUGCAAAAUGGAUUCUUUAGGACUUCUGAUUUCUGUCUCGAGACAACCAGUUUGAAGACAAGGUAUUCUGGCCCAUUCUGGAAGUUUAGGUGGGUUUCAAAGCAAGAAAGAAAAAGGAAGGAAGGGAGAGCGGGAAGGAGGAAGGGAGAGCUGGAGAGAACUUUGUCUGGUUGAAGGUAGGGCAGUGUACAUUAUUGAUAAGCGUGUCCUCAUCCUUGUUAGCUUUCUGCUGUCUUCGGCUCUUGCAAACAAUGAGAUAAUAUUUCUUUGUAAUAAGCACAGAGAGGGUUUAUCCAGUUAUCUUGGCAUGGUUCACAUUAAUGAAAUGAUGACUUUAAAUCAAUUGUCUGUUUUUAUUUGUGACGUAUUAGAGUACGCUCAGUGGGUGUGUUUGCAUAUAUUAUUUGGAAAAAAAAGUGUUUCUCUAUUCUUUAGGAAUUAGAAUGAAACCUCAAAAUCUAAUUUAUCUUACUUUAACAACUAUAUCAACCUUAAAUAUUCAUAUGAAUAAAUAUCUUUUAGGAAAACUAUCAAAGUAGGGUGUUUUCAUAAACAUUUUCCUUUCUGGUUAAAUAAGCCCCAAGCUGUCUGAACUAUAAAGGGAUGUCUGUGGGUGAGUGUGUGUGCACAUGUGUGUGAUUUUUCGCAGUUUAUGGAUGUAAGGGACUCUCUCUGAAAUAUGUGCUCAAGAGCUAGGAGCUCAGAGUUUAGUCUGUGCUGCUGAUCUUACAUUUUCGUUUGGGAGCUCCUUAAGCUUGGUGUGAUCAGUAUCAUUCUUUUCAUAUUUUCCUCAGUAAUUUUGAUUUUAAAAAUACCAAAUACAAGGAAACCUCAAAUUCCUAACUUUCCAGUUCCAAGGUAUCUGGGGGGUGGGGUCUCCUAUUUGGUGAACAGCCCUUUGAGGCAGUGCUGACAGUAUCAUUCUGAAGAGUGACAAUGAAGUGACAAUGUUUCCUUCUUCUCAGAGCCACUCCAAAGUAGGCUGCCCUUGAGGUGACCCAAAACGGGUAUAGCCAGAGGCACAGGUGCCACUUGCAUUGUCACAGAGUCAGGAGAAAAACAAAAUAGAUGAUCCUUUACUCUGGCCUCUUUCUAUCCUUUCUGCUUCUGGCACAGGUCACUUUUUUUCCUUCAUUCUUCCCUUCCUCUCUUCUCACUUUCUCCACUCUCAUUUGGAAAAAUAAAGCAUCAAUCGACCAUCCGCUUAUCCACCUGCCACCCUGUAUUUCAUCUUUAUCUCCAAACAACCUCCCGAAAUUAUUGGCCUUUACAAACUCCCUCACUGUCUUCAUUACCUUCCCUGGAAACUCCUGUAAUCUGAAUGCCACCCCAUCACUCCACUAAUAGGGCACGUGGCCUCCAUUUAGUCAAGCCCAUAGCCUUUUUCUUCACUUUUCAUUUUCCUGAAACCUCUGCAACACUUGGUAAUUUUGGUAAGCCUUUCUGUCCUGAAUCCCUUUUCUCUGUAGGAUUCAUCACUAGCCCUCUUUUUUCUUAACUGUGGGAUAGUAGGGUGCCUUAAGAAGGGUGUGUAUAAAUAUCGAGUAUCAAAUCACUAUGAUGUACACCUGAAGCUAAUAAGGAUAUUGUAUGUCAACUAUUCUUCAAUUAAAAAAUAAAUAAAAUAAUUUAAAAACUUGUCAUAUUACCUAAAAGCCAAAAGAAAAAACAAAGUGACCAUAUAAUUUUUCAUCCAGACCAAGAUAUCCUUGAGAAUUAAAGGUUGCUCAGUGACAAUAGGAACAAACAGAGAUCAUCCUAGGCAAACGGAGAUGUCCAGUCACCCUCUCCUUUAGGCUCCGGGGAGGACAAAGUGGAGAGGAGCUCAGGGUAGGAUAUGAAUGAGCAUAGAUCAAGGAGCUUUCAUCAAUCUGUCUUAGAGUUGCUUAGCUACUUCUGCCUAAGAUCUCAAGUUAAAAAUUCAGCUUCACAUUCAUGAAAGGAUCCAGUUACCUGAGGAGAAGUGUCAGAGCAAGAUUAGGGGAGAAAAGAUGGGUGAGGAGAGAAGUCUAGGGAGGAAAAGGCAGAGCUGGCUGGACCUGUAGUACUCUGUGGGUUCCAGUUAUAGAGUCUGCCCUUAUAGGUAAAGAUGAACUCGGUUCUGAAACCUCUUCCAGGCUCUUCUCAGGCCAGGAUUUCCCAAGAUCAGUAGCACUGAGUGGCCAGCUGGGUAGGCAGCCAUGAUGAUUUUGCACAAAAUAUUCCAGGAACUAUCAGCAUUAAAGAUGUUGGACAUAGAAAGAAAUAGAGCAACUGCAUUGAAAGUGUAGAGAAUGAGAAAGUAGCUGAUAGCUUUGAUGGCCCCCAUGUGAGCUUCCAUGCUGGGGUCCCUGAAGCCAGUGGCAUUGCUUUCCAUGUGUAGGGUGUGUCUCUUGAGAGAGAUGAUCAGCAGGGUGGCUGCAAGGAUGAACAUGAUCAGAGGAAUGAGGAUCCCCAGAUAAUAAAGAAGAAUCAGAUUGAAGACAUUGGUCUCAGUGAAGUAUUUCUUCUCAGUGGAGUUGGAGAAGGGGAUAGGAAUGGAACUAUUCACAUACACAGUGAAGAUAUCUUUAAAGAAGGGAAAGCUGAAGCAUAAAGAGAUGAGGAGUGACAGCCUCAGAAGCCAAGGCAUCAGCACCAUGAUUUUCCUCUUCAUCACGGAGAACAAAGGAUGAAUAAAGCUUGCAAUUCUAAGACAAUAGAAGACAUUGAGCCAGGCAGCAAGCCAGAGGUUGGAAUAGUUCAGAAACAUGAUGAUGACUUUGAAAAGUUUAUACACUGCGUUUUGGGUAUAAAUGACCCGCAAUAGUAGACUGUAAGUAUUCUCCAGCAUCAUCCAGAUCUGUAGCAAGAACCUGGAAAAGCUCAGCAUCAAAAGGAUGCGGUCACCAAUGGGUAGUCUUUUGCCUCUGGCCCACUCCGCCCCAUAGAUAGCUGUGAUGAAGCCAUUCCCAACGAUGCCAAUGGUGCACUCUAUUCCGGAGACCAGCAAGGAGAUUGCAUAGAUGCACAAAAAAAAAUUUGUCUUCUCUUGGAAAAUUAGUAGACUUGGCAAUAUUGUAUCUGCAUGGUGAAUUGGUUGAAGUGGAAUAGUGGCUGCCCAUUUAAAACAA